UACGUAGGGUGCGAGCGUUGUCCGGAAUUAUUGGGCGUAAAGAGCUCGUAGGCGGCUUGUCACGCCGGUUGUGAAAGCCCGGGGCUUAACCCCGGGUCUGCAGUCGAUACGGGCAGGCUAGAGUUCGGUAGGGGAGAUCGGAAUUCCUGGUGUAGCGGUGAAAUGCGCAGAUAUCAGGAGGAACACCGGUGGCGAAGGCGGAUCUCUGGGCCGAUACUGACACUGAGAGACGAAAGCUAGGGGAGCAAAUGGG
rnacentral:rRNA from 1 species